GUAAGAUGACUGGGGUUUCUGGGAGCUGAAGUCCAAAACAACUGGAAAACCAAAGGUUGGGGACCACAGUUCUAGAGCAUACAUAUAUUAUAUAGUAUGGAUCAGCAGACCUUUUUGUCACUGAAUGUAUACUUGUUUGGUGACUGAAGCCAAUUUAAUAUUGUUCCAAUGUACCCAUGUUAUCACAAGCAUGUUUUUUUUUUGCAUAUCUGUACAAUUUAUUGAUCUACUAGCAUUCUGCCCAAAUGGAUGAGGGAGGUAAAUUGUGUUGUUAAUCAUUAUAGAUCAGGCUUUGAACUCAGCAUUAUUUUGGAGAUAUAUACAUUCGAUAUUAAAUGAAUUACACAAACAAGGGGACUAACAAAAGUAUUAUUCAAGUGAAAAAUAAAUUUAAAACAUACAAUUCAUUGUAAAACUCAACCAAACAUAUAUUAAUAAAAAGAAAGAUCAGAACCCUACAAAUGUAACUAACCCUAAAUAUCAACGUGCAGAGCACAAACAAAAUAUUAGCAUAACCUCCCUUAGUAGGAAUUUCUAGUGCUUGGGAGUGGAUACCAAUAAUGACUUCUCAAUUUUAUUGUUCACAACAGUAUCUUACAAAACAUUAAUACAAGCAUACCUCAGUUAACAAAACCUGUGUCAAGGAAACUUCUUUUAGAGAAAGUCACUUUGUAUCUUCUCAUACCCUCUUUUUUCCCUUUCCUCUUUCUAGCUAGAAGCUUUUAUGAUCUCAUCAGAUAAGGCAGAAUUGGGUGGCAUAUGCUGGUUCCUCUUCCCUUUUACCAUGAAGCCCACCAGCACCCAUCCCACAUAAGCUACUUCCAGCAGGACUCUUUGGUAUGGUAAAAAGGGAAGCUGAAUUGGUGUAUGAUGUGGCAGCAGCAACAUGAGAGGCUUCCCAUGUUGCAUAGAGAUCAACAGGGGGAAGCUGGGUAGCUUCUCUCCAUGGGAUAAGAGGGACUCAGAGCGGAUUACAGAAUACGCAUAUAAGGCAAACAUUCAAUGCCUUUUUCAACAGUGAACAACAAUGACAUGCAAUACACAAUACACAGACAAAGGAGAGAUCUUUUGUUUCCUAGCAACAUGAUUUGCAUUUGGGCAAGAGAAGAUAGAAAAGGAACUAUCACUCAGUAAUAUGAGAAAAUCUGCCAACUCUAUGGAUGAGCUUUAAUAAAAGAUCCUGUUUUUCCACAUCAUGUUUGAUCUUCCAUUUUGAAACAAUGAAGAAGUAGGAAUUAAGAUAAUUAUGUGGGAAAAUGUGGUAGACAGUAGUAGAACCCUCUGGGUGAGUAAUCAAUUGUCAAGACAGAAGCUGAACAGCAAACUAGUCCACCCAACCCCAAAACCUAGCACAGAAAACCAAACAGAUUAAUUUUUCUUUGCAAAACAUAUAGCAGUGGAUUUCCUUACAAAGAAAGUUUGCAAAAUAAAACACAUUGUCUAAUGGAGGGGAGAGAGAAAAGAAAAUAGCUAGCUGCAGGUUAGAGAGAUGCAAGAAUAGAGCAGUUGUGUUUAAAAGGCAGUAAAGUAGUCAUUACAAUCCUAGCUAGCAAUCAGUGAAUAUAGCCAUGCCAAAGUUUCUAGCUCUAAGAAAUUCACUGAACAGUGUAUAUUACUAGAAUGCAUUCUAGAGUUGGCGCCUGCAAUCAUUAACAGUAUCAAAUCUAGAUUCUAUAUCAAUUUUUUUUUGGGGGGGGGGUAACCACUAUCUUCUUCA